UGGUCAAGUUAUUAAGGGUGCAGGGCGGAUGCCUUGGCACUAGGAGCCGAUGAAGGACGUGAUAAGCUGCGAUAAGCUUCGGGGAGUUGCACGUAAACUUUGAUCCGAAGAUUUCCGAAUGAGGAAACUCACUUAGAGUAAUGUCUAAGUAUCAUUAAGUGAAUACAUAGCUUAAUGAGGGGAACUCAGGGAACUGAAACAUCUAAGUACCUGAAGGAAGAGAAAGAAAUUCGAUUCCGUAAGUAGCGGCGAGCGAACGCGGAUUAGCCCAAACCAAUAAAGUUUUCUUUAUUGGGGUUGCGGACAUAUCAUAACGAAGAGGUAUCGUAAUUGAAGAGGUUUGGAAAGACCAACCACAGAAGGUAAUAGUCCUGUAUGUUAAACGAGAAGACUUUAGAUAUGAUCCAGAGUACCACGGGACACGUGAAACCCUGUGGGAAGCAGGAGGGACCACCCUCCAAGGCUAAAUACUACCUAGU
rnacentral:rRNA from 1 species